UACGUAGGGUGCAAGCGUUAAUCGGAAUUACUGGGCGUAAAGCGUGCGCAGGCGGUUCUAUAAGACAGAUGUGAAAUCCCCGGGCUCAACCUGGGAACUGCAUUUGUGACUGUAGAGCUGGAGUGCGGCAGAGGGGGGAUGGAAUUCCGCGUGUAGCAGUGAAAUGCGUAGAUAUGCGGAGGAACACCGAUGGCGAAGGCAAUCCCCUGGGCCUGCACUGACGCUCCAUGCACGAAAGCGUGGGGAGCAAACAGG
rnacentral:rRNA from 1 species